UACGUAGGGUGCGAGCGUUAAUCGGAAUUACUGGGCGUAAAGCGUGCGCAGGCGGUUUUGUAAGUCUGACGUGAAAUCCCCGGGCUCAACCUGGGAAUUGCGUUGGAGACUGCAAGGCUAGAAUCUGGCAGAGGGGGGUAGAAUUCCACGUGUAGCAGUGAAAUGCGUAGAGAUGUGGAGGAAUACCGAUGGCGAAGGCAGCCCCCUGGGAUAACACUGACGCUCAUGCACGAAAGCGUGGGGAGCAAACAGG
rnacentral:rRNA from 1 species